AAGGGGCUCUCAAUGUAAUCACAGGUGCUUAAAAUCAGAAGAGAGAGACAGACAAGGAGAGUGAAGAGGGAGAUGCGACUACUGAGUAGUGGUCCAAAAGAGGCAACGUUGCUGGCUUUGAAGAUGGAGGAAGGGGGCUGUGAGUCAAGGAAUGUGAGCAGCCUCUAGAAGCUGGAAAAGGCAGAGACUCUCCCUGGAGUGUCUCAGAUGCAUGCGAUGUGCAUGACUGCUGGAUUUGGAUCAGUGAGCUGAAAGAUGCAGAACAUCACACUUGGCUGGAUGAGUCCCUGUGGAUUGUGGACGAGGAGAAACCGUGAGCGCUGUUCAUUCUAGAAGAUCAGCCCUGAGCUAACAUCUGCUGCUAAUCCUCCUCUUUUUGCUGAGGAAGACUGGCCCUGAGCUAACAUCCGAGCCCAUCUCCCUCUGCUUUCUAUGUGGGAUGCCUACCAUAGCAUGGCUUUUGCCAAGUAGUGCCAUGUCCGCACCCGGGAUCCAAAACGACGAACCCCAGGCCUCUGAAGUGGAACGUGCGAACUUAACCACUGCGCCACGGGGCCAGCCCCAACACCAUUUCUUUCAUCAAAGCAUAGGAAUGUCUGGCAGGAACCAGAUUCUUCUUCAUGUCUUUUGUGUGCACUCUUGUCACCCCAGCAUCCAGCCUUCCAAAUAAAUCU
rnacentral:lncRNA from 1 species